rnacentral:rRNA from 1 species
GACGUAGGGGGCCAGCGUUGUUCGGAAUUACUGGGUGUAAAGGGUUCGUAGGCGGUGUGGCAAGUCGGGAGUGAAAUCUCUGGGCUCAACCCAGAGUCUGCUUCCGAAACUGCUGUGCUUGAGUGUGGGAGAGGCGCGUGGAAUUGCAGGUGUAGCGGUGAAAUGCGUAGAUAUCUGGAGGAAUACCGGUGGCGAAGGCGGCAUCCUGGACCGACAUUGACGCUGAACGGCGAAAGCUAGGGGAGCAAACGGG